AAGGCAAGCUGGGAAGCCAGUGGCUUCCCGUGUAUGAUUGAACCCGCUCGCCGCCUCGAUUUACUGAGUGCGGCCUGAUUUCGGGUUCAUUUUUUG
rnacentral:sRNA from 1 species